AAGGGGUGUCAAAGUAGAGGUAGGUGCGAGAAAUGACGGGCAUCGUGCAAAUCGUUCAUUGUCUCCCAGCUACUUCAACUGUGAUUUCAACCCUUUG
rnacentral:pre_miRNA from 13 species